GCGCGAGUGGCGGAAUUGGUAGACGCCCCAGAUUUAGGUUCUGGUGCCUUCGGGCGUGUGGGUUCGAGUCCCACCUUGCGCA
rnacentral:tRNA from 1 species